ensembl:lncRNA
ACCCCACCAAGCAGACGCUGGUCAGUGUGGUGGACACAGUGGCAAAGGUGAGAGCGGACACGGGCCCUGAGGUGGGGACACGUGCGCCGGGCUCUGCAGCAGCCAGGCGGAGGCCAGGCUCCAGCUCUGCUUGGAGACCCUGGGUCCUGUCUGCUGCAGCUGCCCUGCUCCUCCCUGGCCCUGUUUUUAUUUUGAGGCAGGGUCUCAUUAGAUUGCUGCACUGCCACCGGGCUGGAGCUCCGACUUCCAGGCCUCCUGCCUCAGCCUCCCAGAGUGCUGGGAUGACAGCAACUUGCGCAGGAUUGAAGCAGAUCUGAAAUCACUUCUAACAGCCACCUACAGUGCACUGAAGACGCGCUUGGAGAACCCGGAGGAGAGGUCCACGCGGUAGCCCCUCGAGCUGGUACAGGAGGGCAGCUGCUACCCCAGUGGCAGUGCCAUGCCCUCUGGGGGCCUCACGGGCACCUUGCUGUAGUUUUGGUGUCUUGAGACAGGGUCUCACCAUACAGUCCAGGCUGGCCCUGAUCUCACUGUGUAGCCUGGGCCUGAGACCUUCCUGCCUCAGCCUACUGGGCACUGGGAUUACAGCAGACCUGUUCUCGGAGGUAUUCAUGAGGGAAGCACUGUGUUGAUGCCACAGCCCUCAGGCUCGGUCCCAGCCCCCCAUCUGUGCCACAUCAGCCUUGGGUGCUGGCCGUGUCCUGGUGGCCACGGUGUUUGGACACUAGCUGUGUUGGCCCACACGGCAGCCCUGACUCCAGAUGCGAACACCACGUGCUUUGUUCAGGCCCAGCCUGGGGGCCCGCAAGGCCGCCCUCCGGGCCCGUCCCCCACGCCCCCAGCUGCUGGACGGAAAGCUCUGUAGGAAGUGACCCAGAAUUAGACCUAGCUGGGGUGGCUGCACAGAUCUCGAGAGCUGGCCGCUGUGGUGACAUCAUGAGUACCUUCAGCUGCUACUGCCACCUGAGGUCCCCUCCCCUCAGCCCCGGGCAGCUUGGGUCACCCGCCAGGUGUGGGACUUGGCAGCCCCUCGAGGGACUGGUGAUGGUGACUGAGGUUCUACCAGCUCCCUGUCCCCGAGGGGAGGGGGGGCAGCUCUGGCCCCAGCACAGAGCC